rfam:Lutzomyia longipalpis Contig23705, whole genome shotgun sequence.
AAAAUGGCCCUUUUCAGGGCCCACAAAAACAUAACAUAAAGAGUUG